AAACACGAAACUCGGGCCAUUUAUAUUCAUUUAAUCGCUUAGAUAAGCGGAAUUUGUAUACUUUGUUAUAACAGGGACGGAUGUUUGAAAAUAAGCUUUAACAGUUUUAUUGUUUUCGAAGUGUGUUGGUGUAUUAUUGUUGGACUGUCGGUGUGGUGAUUUUUUUUUCGCUAUAGAACAAUUUGGCUUUUCGCCAGAGAAAUUAGUAUUUAUAAUGAGAAACUGCAUCAAAUCCAACUAUUUGAAAAACAGAUCAUGGAGAAAAUGGUAUUCAGUAGAUCCUGCAACCCCCGCUAAAGAAUUCCAUGAAAUACCUGGUGCCAAAGGUUUGCCUUUUAUAGGCACCACUCUCUCCCUUAUCCUGGCCGGUUCAUCCCCUAAACUUCACGUCUAUAUCGACAAAAGACACAAACAAUAUGGUCCAAUAUUUAAAGAGAAAAUAGGGCCGGUCCCUUGUGUAUUUAUCUCCGAUCCCGAGGCGAUACGAUUAGUGUUUGCCCACGAAGGAAAAUAUCCGAUACACCUGCUUCCGGAAGCCUGGACGACAUACAACGAUUUGUACAACGUCUCUAGGGGGUUGUUUUUCAUGAACGGGACUGAAUGGCGCAGUUAUAGGAAAAUAUUGAAUCCACUUUUGUUAGGAGGAGACAAAGAGUGGAUGGAGGAUAGUUGUCGGCCCGCAAUCGAACGCUUAGUUUGGACGAUUAACGAACUAAAUGACAAAAAUAUUCAGCCUAAAAUGGAAAAACUCCUCUACAAAUGGUCUCUGGAAACAAUAGUUUCCGUCCUAAUAGGACCCGAAAACUAUCUUAAGGCAAAGGAUAACAUAGACAAAGAAAUUACCCAGCUCGCCUCGAAAGUGUUUCUUAUAUUUGAGACUAGUUCGCGGAUGGCCCUCGUAUCAUCUAAAUUCGCUUCCAAGUAUAACAUUUCCAGAUGGCGACAGUUUGAGGAAUCUGUUACUACAGCUGUAAACCUAUCAACUGAUUUAAUAGAGUUGUUGCUGGAGUAUGUAAAAACGGACCAAGAUGGACUAUUGGGAAAACUGAAAGACAAAAUGACUAUCAAUGACGUGGUGAGAAUAGUGACGGAUUUAGUGUUGGCCGCCGGAGAUACCACCGCUCAUUCAAUGGAGUGGGCGCUGUACCUGGUCGCUAAACAUCCAGAAUGUCAGAAGAGGCUUAGGGAGGAGCUGGAAAACUGUAAGAAAAAUAACCAAAAACUUACGUCUUGCCUCUACCUGAAAAACAUCAUAAAAGAAUCCUUAAGACUCUACCCAGUAGCCCCGUUUUUAACCAGAAUUCUGCCAAAUGAAACCACUAUAGCGGGCUACAAAAUUCCAUCCGGCACCAUUUUAAUUCUCUCCAUUUACACCACGGGAAGGGAUGAAAACAACUUCGAAACCCCAUUAAAAUUCUACCCGGACCGAUGGAUCAAAAGCGAAAUCAGAAGUGGGAUUGUCCAGUCGGCUGCGUUACCAUUCGCCAUCGGAUCCAGGUCGUGUAUAGGUAGAAAGUUGGCUGAAACGCAACUGCAACUAACUUUGGCCCAACUGAUUUUAAAGUUUGACGCGAUCGGGAUACGGAACGUACGGGAUGUCGAGGCGGUUUUGAAAAUGGUAAUGGUGCCAUCCGAAGAAAUCAAAUUUAAGUUUGAAGUGAAUAAUAAGUGAGUUUUCUUGGUGCGGGUUUUCGUUAUAAAUUGAAUGGAGUGUACUGUUGUUUAUGUAAGAAUUUUAUUGGGGAAUUGUUAGGAGUGUAUACAAGAAUGACCUAGGGACCGAUGCAAUACAUAAUACUCAGAGUGCUUCGGAUUAGGUUCACGACCUUAUGUUCACGACCCAAGCUGAUUGGAAAUCAUUAUAAUCAGAUAAACACAUUAUAAAGAAACGACAGAAUCACUACAAGACUUUAUUAAUACGGUUCACACCAA
rnacentral:misc_RNA from 1 species